rnacentral:lncRNA from 1 species
AGCCAUCCCCAUACCCGUGCGAGCAGGAGAGCACCACGCGGGCUGUGCUCCUCCUCUCGUACUCCGGCAGAUCUGUCCGCCAAGCAGGCCAUCCUCCUCCUCCCCUGUGGCAGCUCCCCUCUCCGGCCAUCCUCCUCCUCCUCCCCUACUGUCACUUCUCUGCCCGUGGCCGCCAUGGCCUUACCCGAGCCGUCCUCCGCCAUUCCUGCUCCUCUUCCCGGCGUCCCUCCGUGCUCUCACGUCCCACCUCCACUGCCUGCGGGAAGCAAUUCCUUAGGUCUUUAUCGGUCCUUGUUAUUUUUUUGCAAACUUUCCUAACCCUUGUUAUAUGUUGUUGCAGAUCUUGCUGAAAAUUGGAUCCCUGUAGGCCGAUGUAAGGUAAGAGCAUGGUAAUUAGUGACAUGGUAUGAGCAUGUAGAAUUGAUGUUUUCUGUUGGCUAUGUGUAUUGAAUAUUGAUGCAUGCAUUGCUUAGUUGCUUAAGUGACAUAAUGGAUUUAUUGUGUUUUUGGUUGUGUCGUUCUCGGCAAAGAAACUAUGGAAUCUUUCAAAUGGGCAUUCAAACCAUGGUCGUGGCCUUCUUUUUUCCUGUGUUGUGCGUUCGCAUGUCGUGUAUGGUUGGCCGUGUGUAUGUGGGUGUUGUGGGUGUCUGCUCCGGCCGGUGUGCUUGCUGACUGUGUGGUGUGUGCGCUGAAAUUGUGAUGCCGGUUCUUCAUUUGAUUUCUGAUGCAGGAGCUUCAACGCAACAAGACAUGCUUGAGGCAACACCUUAUUUCCCAGAUUUAGGAGUCACGCCGACCCUACAUCCCUUCUUCUCUAACCAUGGCCAUGGCCCAUAGAGUUUGGGAUCUCGGCAGCCUACCCACUCCUCAAGGAUCCAUGGCGUGCAUGUGGUGCUACAGUUAGACCUUAAGGCACCAAAGGGCAGUCCGCAAUCACCACAGGCUCACUGUCAGCGUAUUUUUUUUUUUAUAACCACGAGUAGUUUUUGUUAUGCAUCUCACACUUUUUUGUGAAGUCUGUACAUGAUCUAGUAUUUCUUGUUCCUGAAUGAAGUACUACUUGUUCCGGAAUUAUCAAAGGGCCUUGUUUUGGGUGAGAAAUUUGUAAAAAUAGAUAGAACCUUUGGGUAUUUAUAGAAUUGCUGAGCUAUGUUCAUCGAUCUGCACUUUCGGGUAUAAGAUGAAGAAUUUUUUGAGAGAUAAAAUGAUGUGCGAGUAUUUAGAGCUCAGCAGGUUCUGACUAAUCAAUCUGCAAACUUUUUGUGGGGCGACUCCCAGAUAGUCUAUACAAUGUAUAGUAGUAUAUGUGAAUUUCUAGUUUGUAUCCAUUUUGCUAG